rnacentral:rRNA from 2 species
CACCCAGGACGGUGGAA